rnacentral:rRNA from 1 species
UACGAAGGGGGCGAGCGUUGUUCGGAUUUACUGGGCGUAAAGGGCGCGCAGGCGGCUCAUUUUGUCAGGCGUGAAAGCCCCGGGCUUAACCUGGGAACUGCGUUUGAUACGGAUGGGCUAGAGUUCGGGGAGAGGAGAGUGGAAUUCCCAGUGUAGAGGUGAAAUUCGUAGAUAUUGGGAAGAACACCGGUGGCGAAGGCGGCUCACUGGCCCGAUACUGACGCUGAGGCACGAAAAGCGUGGGGGAGCAAACAGG